rnacentral:rRNA from 1 species
GACGAACGCUGGCGGCGUGCUUAACACAUGCAAGUCGAACGAAGAGCGAUGGAAGCUUGCUUCUAUCAAUCUUAGUGGCGAACGGGUGAGUAACGCGUAAUCAACCUGCCCUUCAGAGGGGGACAACAGUUGGAAACGACUGCUAAUACCGCAUACGAUCUAAACUCGGCAUCGAGGAUAGAUGAAAGGUGGCCUCUACAUGUAAGCUAUCACUGAAGGAGGGGAUUGCGUCUGAUUAGCUAGUUGGAGGGGUAACGGCCCACCAAGGCGAUGAUCAGUAGCCGGUCUGAGAGGAUGAACGGCCACAUUGGGACUGAGACACGGCCCAGACUCCUACGGGAGGCAGCAGUGGGGAAUCUUCCGCAAUGGACGAAAGUCUGACGGAGCAACGCCGCGUGAGUGAUGACGGCCUUCGGGUUGGAAAGCUCUGUUAAUCGGGACGAAAGGCCUUCUUGCGAAUAGGGAGAAGGAUUGACGGUACCGGAAUAGAAAGCCACGGCUAACUACGUG